GCCUCCUGUAAAGGAGGCAUAAACCUGCUGCCUGAGCUGUCUUAAGAGCUUGAUCAAGCAGUGAGAAGGGCAAGAAAGAAGAUCCUGGAAACUAGGGGCUUGUCAGUCUCACUUCAGUGCCUGACCUAGGCUUCUCUGGACAUCUUGUGAAAUGCAACCCAAUGGCUGGAAGUCCCCUACGUGAAGGGACGUAGGGGCUACAAGCAACUGAUCUGUACUUCCUGUGAAGCACAACGUUAACCUGAACCGAUGCAUAGAUGCAUAUUUGAUAUGGAAUACAAUGUUUGUUUGCAAAAAACCAAACCAAAGAACUUGUAUAUUUUGACUGGAACCAGCCUGAGCCUCAGAGAAAUCCCU